ensembl:misc_RNA Y_RNA Y RNA
GGCUGGUCUAAAGGUCGAGAGUUAUCUCACUUGAUUGUUCACAGUUACAGAUUGUUCUGCUCUUUCCCCCUUUCUCACUAAUGUGCUUCACUAGUCUUUU